AUUGAACGCUGGCGGCAGGCCUAACACAUGCAAGUCGAACGGCAGCGGGGAGUAGCUUGCUACUCUGCCGGCGAGUGGCGGACGGGUGAGUAAUGCCUGGGGAGCUGCCCAAUCGAGGGGGAUACCAGUUGGAAACGACUGCUAGUACCGCAUACGCCCUGAGGGGGAAAGGUGGGGAUCUUCGGACCUAUCGCGAUUGGAUGCACCCAGGUGGGAUUAGCUAGUUGGUGAGGUAACGGCUCACCAAGGCGACGAUCUCUAGCUGGUCUGAGAGGAUGACCAGCCACACUGGAACUGAGACACGGUCCAGACUCCUACGGGAGGCAGCAGUGGGGAAUAUUGCACAAUGGGGGAAACCCUGAUGCAGCCAUGCCGCGUGUGUGAAGAAGGCCUUCGGGUUGUAAAGCACUUUCAGCGAGGAGGAAAGGGUGGCAGCUAAUACCUGUCAUCUGUGACGUUACUCGCAGAAGAAGCACCGGCUAACUCCGUGCCAGCAGCCGCCGUAAUAC
rnacentral:rRNA from 1 species